ACGCCCCUGGGUGGCGGGAUCCUGCCAGAGGAGAAGCCAAAGAAUAAGACAAACUGAACAUGGCGGACCUGGCCAUUGCAUUUUUAAUCGCCGAAGAAAUCGAUUCUAUUGAAAUCCCAUUCGUUUGUUAUGUCCUACAGAAAAGAAGGAAGAUAAGGUGUGCAGACAGACGGCCCGAACCCUGGACCACCCCCCUCAGUGACUCCUGCCUGGGGGGCCACACAUGGUGGGGGAUGCAGGGCCCCCCCCUCCCCAUCCCAAGUCCUGAGCACCCCGCUCCAACAGUGCCAUCAGUACCGGGGAGUGGGUUAACAGCCGGCUGGGCAGGGCCAGGGGCGUGGGUGGGGCCAGAUGGGCAGGGCUGUUGAAGAGCUGGUUCCCGAAGGCCUUGUGCACACGCUCAGUAAGAUUGAGAGACCCCCCCCCCCCCCCCCACCGAGCCAGAGACACGCCAGCCCGCCCCAUCCCCGCCCCAUCCAUGUGGAUAAGAGUGUCUGCCAAACGCCAUUGAUGUAAAAAAUGUAAUGUACUGCCCCAUUCUGUCAGACAGACAGACAGACAGACAGACAGACUCCUCCAUGUUCACUUCUAAUCUCCCCCACUGCUCGGCCAUAUUGGCUGGAAUUUCCAUUUUAAGACUCAGGUGCUGCUGACAGUCCCAGUGCUAUGGGAGCCUCUUAGCCAUCUGUGUAACAAUGUGCGUAACAAUGUGUAACAAUGUGUGUAACAAUGAGUAACAAUGAGUAACAAUGUGUAACAAUGUGUAACAAUGCGUAACUAUGUGUAACAAUGUGUAACAAUGUGUUACUGCGUAACAAUGUGUUACUGCGUAACAAUGUGUAAUAAUGUGUAACAAUGUGUAACCAAGUUUCUACUGGGCUUCCUUUCACAGACCAUUCAUUCCUGCCAGUGCAUUUCCAUUUUGAAAAGAUGCUGACUGUAAUUUCCUCAGAGUAUGAGUGUUCAUGUACAGCGCUGUCGCGCUGGGACACAGAGACAUGCGUUAGAGGCUGAGUGUGUGCAGUCCCAGAGGGCAGCCGGUUGAGUGAAGAACACUGGAGCUCCCAUUAAAGUCAAUGGGGAAUAUCAGACUUUUGAACGCAAAAUAAAACUUCUCCAAUGGUAUUUUGAAACUUGUUUAACAAUCGUUACAUUUCAUAUGAAAAGCAUAUUGUGAAAAUAUGUCAUAAAAUGUACAUUUUAAUAAAUAUUUAUCCAAAACA